UUCCUCCCUAAAAUUUAAAAUGAAAUAGCCUUCACUUUUUGAGCAGUACGUUUACGUUUUGACAAAAAUUUACAUGAAGACAAGAAUGCAAAAUUCAACUCAGAUAAAAUUGGAUCUUUCAAAGUUAAAGCAGACCAAAAUUUGGAAUUUAGAAACACUGAACUGUAUAANNNNNNNNNNNNNNNUUAUUUUUCAGUAAAUACUUUAAUGCUUGGAAAGCCGGAGCGUGGAAAGAUGGUUGAAAAUAUGAUCUUACAAAUGGCACAGACCGGUCUCAAAUUGGACAACAGCUUGAAGAGAGUGAUUUAAUUAGAAUUCUGGAACAAAUUUCAAAUAAUGACAGAUUUUCUAAAGCCACCACUGUCAAGUUCGAUCGCAGAAGAGCUGCUCUUGAUGAUUCGGAUGACGAUUUUUCAUAGCAUCGAAAGUUCUGCGUUUCAAGUCACUCCCCCUGUCCUGAUGAAAAAUUAUGACUGACGGCUUGUGUGUGUCCCUCAACAUUUUGCACAUCAAGCAAGUUUUGUAAGUUCAACAGUUGAUUUGAAAAUGGUCUUACCUAUGUACUAAUUGGAAAAGAGGCACUAUCGAAUACUUUUAUCCUAAAGAAUAUCUUCAAUUUAAUAAGAACUGAGGAUUGAAAGUUCCAAUAAAUCGAAACACUAUGCUCUAAGCCUAUAGACUAAUUUCAUUUCCAUCAAUCAAAGUUAAAAAUUUAAGCAUGUAAAUGGAAAAGUGAAAGAAUGCCUUUCGUUGUAGGGACUUCAUGAUUUAUAAAAUGUUUGUAUGCCUUUUCACCUUGAUUUUUACUUUUAAUCUUAAAAAUAGUAUUCUUUUAAUUGCCUGUAAUGCUUUGUUUUUGUGUUUAGAUAAUCAUUCUUAACUAUUGCAAAAUUGUAUCCCCCUGAAGCUAAUCAUUGAUGUUUUUCGAGCCCCAAGUUCUGAAGUACCCACAACGAUCAAUUCUCAAAGUGCUGAAUUGAUUACUAUAGUCUAUUUUCUGCCACCUCAAAUAUAAACUGUUCAUUUUUAGUCUUUGUGUCAUAAUUAAGAAGAAAAGAACAUCUUUUUUUUAUUAAAGAAAAUAUGAUGUUACCUACCUGAUGUGCAACAAGAGAUAGAAUGUCAGGUUUAAAAAUACUUCUGUAAACAAUUUUUUGUGAAUUAAAAAACUUUUGUACAUAAAAUCACAAUAUCACUAAUUUAUUAACUAAGAUAUUCUAGUGUUUAAUGUUUUUUUUUUAAAGCCCCUCCUCGCUUUUUCCCCCUCCGCUCGUAAAGAUAUAGAAAACGCUUUGUUUCAUCAGAAACAACCCCAUCUUCAUAUAAAGAAGUAUGGUAGCAUUUACUUCAAAGGUUUAGGCUUUCAU
rnacentral:lncRNA from 1 species